UGUUGGCUUCACAUCUCUGUUGACAUUUGUCAGUUGGUGAUUUGCCUUCUGUUGCAGAAGAAGGCAACAGAUGAGUCCUCGAAUAUGGGUUAAAUAUAGAAAAUGGGACCAGAAAUGCUUCAUAUUCUAGACUUGCGGGAAUUUUGGAAUUUGCACAUGUAUGAGGUGUUUCAUCAACCUUCCUUCCUCUGUGAUCCAAUAAAAAUGUAUGACUGUAUUCCUGCUGGGGAGUCACACGGCCUUCCUGUUGUCAUUACUUGUGUUUGGACGGCAGGACAAGUCUGAGAGGAGCACAUCUCACACUGCUCACUCUCUCUCGCCAUUGUCCUACUGACAUGGUAGGUAGGAGCCUCAUGCAUUGUGUUUUCUCGGGGACUGAAGACUCUCCCUCCAUUUUCAGCCUCCAGGAGCCCAAGACCCUCAGGCAUAUCUGUUCAUCAGUGAAGCUCACUGUGGACCAGGCCCAACAGGGCUCCCAAUCUUGCUUGAAAUCAUAGAAUGCACGUCAGUGUUCACAGACCUUCAAGAAACUGAAGGACUUUGGCAGUUGGGUAGGGUUGGUCGGCCCGCAGUGCACAAACAGGCACUAGGGGGCAAUAUUGUGUCGUGA